rnacentral:rRNA from 1 species
UACGGAGGUGGCAAGCGUUGCUCGGAAUCACUGGGCGUAAAGGGCGCGUAGGCGGGGAGGUAAGUCGGGUGUGAAAGCCCCGGGCUUAACCUGGGAACUGCGCUUGAAACUACGAGACUCGAGUGUGGCAGAGGAAGGUGGAAUUCCACGUGUAGCGGUGAAAUGCGUAGAGAUGUGGAGGAACACCGAUGGCGAAGGCAGCCUUCUGGGCCAACACUGACGCUCAUGCACGAAAGCGUGGGGAGCAAACAGG